rnacentral:lncRNA from 1 species
AGGAGAGGAGAUGGAAUUUUCCAAAGUUCCUGAGUUGACCUCUUCAGUGCCAGGCAUUGGCAUUGUGGAGAUGAACUAGGCAGGUACUCUCCCUCAAGUACUUCCCAGCCCAGAAGGGGACAGGACCACACCUGAGGACUAUCCUAAAGAUCUGAACAGUGGAGACAGAAUGAAGAGAGCUUGCUUGGACAGCUUUAUGUAGCAGAGCUGGUACAAGUGACUUAGGCCUUGAAGGGACUCCUGAGCAUCAUUCAAGGAAUUCUCUGGUCUCUAAACCCAAGUCUAAAGGCAGCUGAUUUAUCUGAUUUAUCCCUGGGAGCCACACCCAGCACAGGGCCAAGCACAAACACAACAUCACAUGAACGAGGACAGUGAGUCACUUGGGAUAUGGAGAGACGCAAGAGGAUCAGAAGUUUGAGGCCACCCUCAGGAACACAGCAAGUCUGAGGGCAGCCCGAGCCACACACGCUUCUUACCAAGAAAGGAUGAAGCCAAUGUUCCCACUCUAUCCUAAAAUAGGCUGCCAAGCACACCCAAGAAUGUGUCCUGUGACCCCACACUAGAAGACCUUGACACUCAGUAUGAUCGCAUCACGAAGCCUGAUCUAUACCCAAGGGUGGGAACCGCAUCACUGUGGUCUCUACCCAUCAUGGAGACCCUCUCACUCACUCACUCGCCCACUCACUCACAGUGUGACCUUGGGAAGCCACUGAACUGAUCUAGUCUCUCUCCCAUAAAAUGGACUAAUGGUUGCAUCUCCCCCGAGAGCUUGGCAGAAGGGUUAAAAUUAAUAUGUACUGAAUGCUAUUGAUUAUAUAAAGUUAUUAUAUGUGAAGGACAUGU